UGGUAACACGUGUAGCUAACUGAUACUAAUAGCUCGAUUGGUUUACUUUG
rnacentral:rRNA from 1 species